rnacentral:rRNA from 1 species
CUACGGGACGCUCCAGUGAGGAAUAUUGCACAAUGGGGGGAACCCUGAUGCAGCAACGCCGCGUGGAGGAUGACGCAUUUCGGUGUGUAAACUCCUUUUAUAUGUCAAGAAAAUGACGGUAGCAUAUGAAUAAGCACCGGCUAACUCCGUGCCAGCAGCCGCGGUAAUACGGAGGGUGCAAGCGUUACUCGGAAUCACUGGGCGUAAAGGGCGCGUAGGCGGGUUGGAAAGUCAGGUGUGAAAUCCUACAGCUUAACUGUAGAACUGCACUUGAAACUUCCAAUCUAGAGUAUGGGAGGGGGAGAUGGAAUUAGUGGUGUAGGGGUAAAAUCCGUAGAUAUCACUAGGAAUACCUAAAGCGAAGGCGAUCUCCUGGAACAUUACUGACGCUAAGGCGUGAAAGCGUGGGGAGCAAACAGGAUUAGAUACCCUCGUAGUC